rnacentral:lncRNA from 1 species
GUCCUACUAACAAAUUUCCAUAUUCCUUAACUUCCCGACUUCAUUAGUACUACAUAACUUCUUGAAACAUAUACCACCCUACAAUUCCACAUUACCAGGAUCACAAUUCCUAUUUCAACUUCAACCAAGUUCGCCAAUUCUCUUUACUUCUUACUCUUGGCUUGAGUCCACCCUCAAAACACAAACUUUCCACAACCUUCAAAGUCCUCGCGGUCUCUAAAACAUGAUCC